UCUCUGACUUUCUUCUCUCUCUCAGUCUUUCUAUAGUCUACGCUUCUCUCUUCAGUUUCGUCUCUCUCAAAUUCUUCUCGUCCAAACCAUUCACAAGAACCCAUCUAGAGCGACGAUUACUAAACAAAACCCUAAGCAAGACCCACAAAAGAAGAAACAGAUCCCUAAGCCAUGAACGGUACCUCACCAGCUCUAGCGAGGGAAUUGUUCUCGCCAAACAUUAAAAAUCCAUUGUUUAUUUGCUGUCCUCGUUCCCUCUCUCUCUCGACCGUGCUCUCUUUCCUCUCUCUUCGACUUCGCUCCAUUUUCAGAAAGGACCUCACCAUUAAUUGACCUCGUCGGCGCAGGGAAAGGGGUUUUACACGGCGACGAUCGAAACCCAUUUCAGGUGCUGUAGAGUUGGUUUGAAAUUUCCCCAAAUUUUUUUGAUUUGUGCUUCACUUUUUCACCAAAAUUGCUUGAUGAUGGCAUUUGUGAGGUUUGUUCUUUCCAAGUUGAUUUUUUUCCCCCUCUGUUCUGUUAGAAGAAUUUGAUAAAGUUCGCAUUUUUAUUUAUUUUUCGUGAGGAUUUGUGUUUGUUUGGGGUUUGAUUUUGAUGGGUAUUUAUCGUUUUGGUGAUUGGUCGUUUUGUUUAUGGUUAUUUAAUUUUGCAUGCGUUUCGUACUUUUGGUAUCCUCUGUUUGGUUGCUUAGAAUGUAUUGGGAAAAGAGAAUAAAAUGGAAUCUCAAAUUUCAAUGUUUCGUGUAUGACUUGUGAUUGAUCAUGUUCUUGCAAAAAGAAUUGGAGUUUAUAGGAAUGAUUGGCUUCUGGGAAUACACAUAAACAUUUAGAGUUUGUGUUGGAUCAUUAGCAUAAUUGGCUUAAUAUACUGUUUCUUAUUAGAUUGAGUGAGUUCUUUCCAGUUUCAAUUUGAUUCUUUUUAAUAAUAAUUUCAAUAAAAGCUAACAUAAAAAUUUAAUCGCUCUAUUAUUAUAAAUAUUAAUUUCAAUAAAAAGAAAGAUGGUAAUCAGUAUGCACUGUACCAGACUACACCUAAAUGAUUACAAACUCAUAUUUAGGGAGUCAAUGAAAUCUAUAAAAAAAAAAAAAUGUUAGGAAUGAAUGGUUGACAAUAACAGUCUUCCAUUCAUAAGAAUAUCUCAGCAUAGGCUUUUUGAGAACAUGAAUAGGAUGUUCAACCCCAUCAAAAGUCCUACUAUUACACUAAUGCCACAGUGUCCACAUAUAACAUUACGGGACUGCCUUCCAUAUUUCGCCACCACUAUUGACUAUGGAAAUUUUCUCUCCAACAAGAAAGCAUUCUGGGACACCAUCUUUGGCAUAACCAAGAGUCUCCAAAUGAUGCAAAUAUCUUGGGCCAGAUAUCCUUGCCAUUGAACGACUCAAAAGAUCAGUUUCAAAAUGAUUUUUUCUACUUCUUUUAUUGUUUUUUGUUUCCCUUUACUUUGAUACGUUAUUAUGGGUAGGUUAACUAACAAGUUGCAAUUUUAUUUGCAUCAAUUUCUCCUUUCAUGUCGUUACUUAACAAUUAAAGGAACUAUUUUGUUUUUUUGGUUGCAAAACUUAAGUUUCAGACUAAUAUUUUAAACUACCUUCUUAUCCAUAAUUUUUAUGGGCUUUUAGUAAAAUGUAUUUACCUGCUUAGUGAAAGUCUUUGUUGGUUUUAGGGAGGCCUUACUGCUACAGAUGUUUUUGCGGUUGAGUGGAUUCAGACUGGUGUUAUUCACUUUGGGAUGACAGUCUCAUAUUUUGGUUUUGUUAGUGAUGUUUGAAGAAGAAAUGCUUUGUCGCCAUGCUUUUGAAGUUUCAGACUUGUAAGCGUGUUUAACACUUGAUGCUUGCCUUACAUCAUUGUCAGGCAUUUACCCUAGAAGUGAUUCAUAAGCUUACUUAUUUUGUUAAAAAAAGAAUUGGUGAAUACAUUUUGUGGUUAAUUUCACACUAUGCUUAAUUGGGUGCUAAAGUAGGAAAAGGAAUAAAUUAUUGUUUUAUAAUUAACGUCCUCAACAAUGCAUACUAAAUUAUCCUAAUGUAGUUGACGAUUAAUUUCACAUAUUUUUCCAUUUGGGAGCUGGAGAUAUUUAUAUUUUUCGUUUGAAUUCAAUCAAUGGUACAAAACAAUGCCUAAGCUUAUUUUGUUUUGGUAAUGUGUCAUAUAAGUACAUGUGUUUGUACUAUCAAAACUACAAAUCUAAGUUUAUUUGCAGUCUUUAGAAUGAUCUAUAUGGUUGUAUUUGAGCUAAUUAUGGUGACUAUGACUCUUUUGGUAAAUGAGUGAACAUUAAUCCAUGUAUGAUGUAGUCCACUAUAUCAUAUGGUAGUUAAUAUAUGUGAGCUUUUCAUGAAAUGACAUGUUUCUUCUUCUUCUAUUAGCAUGGUCAUACUGCUUCCAAAUUAUUUUCUAUUUUUAUUAAACAUGUGAACAUGAUUGAAUUGAUCUUUUAGCACAGUUCCAGACCUGCCAUUGCUUGUUAGCCUGUUAAUGCACAUAUAUGCUCCCUUGUUGCACUAAUCAAUUUUAAUUGGUGUCUCCAAGAAGUGAGAUUGAUUCUUAUUCUGUAAUCAUUGUUCGUUCUGCGGUGUUUGAAUUUAAAGCAAUGAUUUGUUGUCAAAAAGAUGCUGAUUUUGAAUCUCUUGUAUACAGGAUAUUUUUGUCAUUUAGAAAGCCUGUAAAUUAGCUAAUGUUGUCUGAUUAGCAGUCCUUUGAUAACAUUGAAUUAUAUUGAUUGCACUUUGAUCCAUUAUUUUAGUUUUUAAUGAUAGAUUGAGUAGUGAAACAGGAAUACAAUUACCAGCUAAAUAUUAAAUGGGACAAGUUACUUUCUGUCAAUGGUUAUGUAUCACAUGCAUGUUACAGUAAUAAUUAUCCACCAAAAAAAAAAAAAAAAAGCAUGGUUCGGUAAUGUCUGAUUAGUUUUUGAGCAUUUGUUGCUCAUGUGUCUGUAUUUCAACUUUGUUGCAGUGUUGGAACUUUUUGAGAAAUAUCAGAAGCGCUUUGGUCCUCUGCAUUAUCUUGUUGCUGGAUUUCUAGUUCUUAUGCUUGCUAAAGUACAACUAUGAAAUGGAAUAUCUUCCGGCAUCAAAAGAGGAUCGAGAGGGAAAGUUCUCAGCUGACCAGGAGGUAGUUGACAUGUCAGAACUUUACACUGACAUUAUGAGGAGAUCAAGCAAAGAGCAUUCCUAGAGCCUCUAGUCUAUCUAGUAUUGACUUAAUAAUGACCCCUAGUCGAAUGUCUGGAGAAGAUUUGGAUACAACCUGCAGUAGUACCCAUGCUAGCACUGAACCAUCUGACCAUGUGCGUGGCCUAGAUCCAAAAGCGAAACGCCUAUCAUCUGGAAGGAGCAAUGUACAGCAGAGCCAGAGGUUAUUCAUCCUCAGCCACCUCUGUCAACAACUCCAAAAGGAAUGACUCAUGGCUACAUGAUCAAAAGGAAUCUAUUUUCAAAGUGGGCAUAUCACAUGAACAAAAGUCUAAUCGAGUAAUGUAAUAAGGAGGGCCUUGAAGUGUUAUAAAAAAAAAAUAAUAAUAAUAAAAAUGAGGGUCUUGAAGUACUA